rnacentral:rRNA from 1 species
UGACCUCAAAUCAGGUAGGACUACCCGCUGAACUUAAGCAUAUCAAUAAGCGGAGGAAAAGAAACUAACAAGGAUUCCCCUAGUAACUGCGAGUGAAGCGGGAAAAGCUCAAAUUUAAAAUCUGUCAGUCUUUGGCUGUCCGAGUUGUAAUCUAGAGAAGUGUUAUCUGCGUUGGACCGUGUACAAGUCUCCUGGGAUGGAGCGUCAUAGAGGGUGAGAAUCCCGUCUUUGACACGGACUACCAAGGCUUUGUGAUGCGCUCUCAAAGAGUCGAGUUGUUUGGGAAUGCAGCUCAAAAUGGGUGGUAAAUUCCAUCUAAAGCUAAAUAUUGGCGAGAGACCGAUAGCGAACAAGUACCGUGAGGGAAAGAUGAAAAGAACUUUGGAAAGAGAGUUAAACAGUACGUGAAAUUGCUGAAAGGGAAACGCUUGAAGUCAGUCGCGUUGUCCAGGGAUCAACCUUGCUUUUGCUUGGUGUACUUUCUGGUUAACGGGUCAACAUCAAUUUUGAUCAUUGGAAAAAAGUUAAGGGAAUGUGGCAUCUUUGGAUGUGUUAUAGCCUUUGAUUGUAUACAAUGGUUGGGAUUGAGGAACUCAGCACGCCGCAAGGCCGGGUUUUUAACCACGUACGUGCUUAGGA